rnacentral:snRNA from 1 species
AUACUUACCUGGCAGGGGAGAUACCAUGAUCACGAAGGUGGUUUUCCCAGGGCGAGGCUUAUCUGUUGCACUCCGGAUGUGCUGACCCCUGUGAUUUCCCCAAAUGUAAAUAAAAUAACAAUAAAAAC